GGCGCGAUAGCUCAGUUGGCUAGAGCACACGGUUCAUACCCGUGGUGUCGGGAGUUCGAAUCUCCCUCUCGCUA
rnacentral:tRNA from 1 species